UAUUUAAUAGGAAAAAGCGAAUUUCCUAAUACGGAUCCCUAGCUCCAAUCUCAGCUGUGAACUUGGAACUUAACGGAUGACCAAUUAUAGCACUUACUCAGCGUACCUAUUCGUUUAGAUCACCAAUGAACUAAA